GACAACUAGAAAGUAGCUGCACCAUUGAGCUCUGACAACAACUGCUAGAAAGUCUUAGAAAUCCUGGCCUUCAGCAGGACAAGGAAGGAGGCAUCCUAAAUGUGAGACCAAGGAGGUUCCAGAUGCUACCAUGAUGCCAACCUGACUUUUCAGGGCAGACGAUCCCACCAAUGUUUCCUGGAGCUCCAUUUUCCCAGAGCUAUGUCCCACUAGGGAAAAAGAGAGACAGGGUGGCAGUAUGGAUUGACCCAUCAGAUCCUAUGUUUAGUGAGGAAGCAAUUGCAGAAGCCAGACCUUCUACCUUCUACACCCCUUAAUGAUCCUGGGAUAAAAAGUAGGAAAGCUACCAAGGGAGGGGAUGGGAUAUAUAGUUCUGGAGGUGGGUAUUGUGUGAAAUUGUA